UGGUUGUGGUGGUGGUAGUGGUGGUGGUAGUGGUGGUGGUGGUGGCAGCGGUGGCGGCGGCGGUGGUUCUAGUUAUUCAGGCAAUAGUGCCCAUCAUCAUCACCACUAUCAUCACAACAAUCAUCAUCA
rnacentral:pre_miRNA from 1 species